rnacentral:rRNA from 1 species
CACGCCCUAAACGAUGAUUACUCGACAUUAGCGAUACUACUGUUAGUGUCUAAGCGAAAGCAUUAAGUAAUCCACCUGGGAAGUACGACCGCAAGGUUGAAACUCAAAGGAAUUGGCGGG